rnacentral:lncRNA from 1 species
GAGACUGCGUGGAGAGCCACAUACACGGACGACUGAGAGAGGAAACAUUGACGAAAAUGAAACUGGGUGAUGAGCAAGGUGCGCUCGUUAAUUGGGGUUUUGGGAAAACCAUUAGUAUAGUAGUGACAGACCAAGCUGUAAGGUUGCGUUCAGCAUGUUGCGUCUGAUGAGGGCUGAAGUGAAGUAAGCCGAAACGCGUAACGCAAAAUAUGCUGUUUUUGUCUGUUGUCACCGAGAAAAGCCAAUAUAUAAUAUUAAAUA